UACGUAGGGUGCAGGCGUUAAUCGGAAUUACUGGGCGUAAAGCGUGCGCAGGCGGCUCCCUAAGUCAGAUGUGAAAGCCCCGGGCUUAACCUGGGAACUGCGUUUGAAACUGGGGAGCUGGAGUGUAGAAGAGGGGGGUGGAAUUCCAGGUGUAGCAGUGAAAUGCGUAGAUAUCUGGAGGAACACCGAUGGCGAAGGCAGCCCCCUGGGCUAACACUGACGCUCAUGCACGAAAGCGUGGGGAGCAAACAGG
rnacentral:rRNA from 1 species